rnacentral:rRNA from 1 species
AUUGAACGCUGGCGGCAGGCCUAACACAUGCAAGUCGAACGAGUGGCGGACGGGUGAGUAAUGUCUGGGCAACUGCCCGAUGGAGGGGGAUAACUACUGGAAACGGUAGCCAAUACCGCAUACCAUCGGAUGUGCCCUGAUGGGAUUAGCUAGGUGGUGGGGUAACGGCUGUCCUAGGAGACGAUCCCUAGCUGGUCUGAGAGGAUGACCAGCCACACUGGAACUGAGACACGGUCCAGACUCCUACGGGAGGCAGCAGUGGGGAAUAUUGCACAAUGGGCGCAAGCCUGAUACAGCCAUGCCGCGUGUAUGAAGAAGGCCUUCGGGUUGUAAAGUACUUUCAGCGAGGAGGCGUUACUCGCAGAAGAAGCAUCGGCUAACUCCGUGCCAGCAGCCGCGGUAAUUC